rnacentral:lncRNA from 1 species
GCUGGGCUCCGGCCCUAGCCUUGGCUUCAGAAUGAGUCACAUCCUAUUUGUGGCCACAGAGCUCAGAUGCCAUCAAGAUUCUUUAAAAACAUUCUCAAAGGGGACUUGGCAUUUCCAACAAAGGCUGAAGAAGGUCUGUUGGGGAAAGGGUGGGACGUUCAUUCCUGGCACCGGGUCCCACUGUUGCAAAGUUCCCAGAGCCUCUGUUUACCACCUGGAAGAUCCUGAAGGUGCUGUGAGAAUGAAAUGGAGCCAAGCUGCAGAAGCCUUUUCCCGGUGCCUCAGAUGUGACACUUCAUGCCUGUCCGGUCUCCCCAGACCUGGCCAAAGUCUGCCCAGCGCCUCUCCUCUGGAAGCCUUUGAAGGCCCCUUCCUGGAAGGCUGGAUUGUGUCAGAGACCAAGAAUGGUGCGCAGCACUGGACAGUUCCUACCCAGGCAUCUAGACACAGACGUUGGACAGAGGCCACCAUGAAGUUUCCAACAGACGUGACAGGUGAACUUGCCAAAGACCAUUUGUCAGGCCUAAGCUGUUCUGGAUAUCCAAGGAGACCUCUCUGAUGUCUACAAGGCUGUGAAGCUCGAUCCCCUCCCAGGCCUGCCACCCACAGCUCAGCAGCCCUGGCUGUGGUGGCUUCUGUUGCUGUGAUCUAAGGCAUACUGUGACACCUGGACCUGGCACUUUCUAGGACCUCUGAAAGUCCAGCCACAGUCCCAGCAUAGCACCUGGCACCCAGAGAGUAGCCCCAGGCUCCAUCCUCAUCCUUGCAGCCCGGUGGCCAGAUGACAAAGAGUCUCACAUCCCUUGUGUCCCUUCCCAGCAAACAGCACAAUCUCACUAACCUAAAAGAUACUGCAGAGAAGAUGAUGGGUGACUUCUGCUGAUGGGUUAGGUCACAGGACACUGCUGCUUCCACCCUGAUCUCUGGGACUACUUCACUGGGGGCGCCAGCCACAGUGGGACAGACAUCCACAGAGAACUGAGUCAUCCCACCAACAUCGAGUGCACCAGCCCCAAGAGAGUACACCAACCUUCUGAUGACAGCAGCCCAAGAAGACACCAUGACAGUAACCCUCUGGCAGAUCUUCACCCAAAUUCCUGGCCACAGCAAACAGCACAUGCUUAUUGUUUGAACCACUCUUCUGGGGUGAUCUGAUAGGUAACCAACACAGACAACCUGAGGUCACACUACUGUCCAGAGAAGGCAGGAUUUCAGGUCCAAACUGCCCCCAGGUUGUCAGGGGAUGGCCUCUCAUUAUGUAUCCAUGACAUGCAGAGGCCUUGCAUUCCCUAGAUCAAGAUGAGGAGGUGUGGCACCCCAGCCCCAGGAUGGGGACUUCAUGUUCCCAGGAAGUAGACAUAAAUGUUCUCAACGUUUGUUUACCAUUCAAAGGCAAUGUGCACUGUGCUCCCUGAAGGCAGAGGAGAGAACUAAGCCUCCCUGGUGAUUCAUAGGUUUUCCAGAGCAACGCAGUCCUGCCUGGUGUGAGACCCACCCCAACACAAGCGAAGCAGACAGACCUGGGACUGCAUGCUGUGGCUUAUUAGAAAUUUACUGAC